UAUAUCUAGUCACCGUAAAGCCUAUUGUAAAUUGUAAUCCUGAUAAUAUAAUGAUAUAUUCUUUGUAAUUAAUAGGAUCUUUCCAAUCAGUGAAUGAUGUAGAAAAUACUGAUGAUACCAUUGAAAACAAUAUAUGUGAUGAACCUGAGCCAACUUCAAGUUCAAAUAACUGCAAUACGUUGUACUCUUGGAUCACUAAUAUCAGUACCACGUCCACCCCUAAUAAAGAAUUUUAACGAAUAAGGGAUAGUACUUUAUCUGAUACAAAAUGCUUGUCUGCAAGUUCUUUUAAAUCAUCUACUUUGAGUAAUAUUUCCACGAUGCAAACAUUUGUUGAUAAAGUAACUAAGGAUGAAAAAUUAAAACUAGACUCAAUGUUAGCAAAAGCUAUCUAUCCAAGUAGAUCACCUUUAUCACUUCUUGAUAAUAUUUAUUGGAAGAAACUGUUUGAAAAAAUAAGGCCAGCUUAUGUAUUACCUUCUUCUUAUCAACUAUCGAAUACACUUUUGGACAGUGAAGUUAAUGGUAUAAAAUGUUUUGUUGAGAAACUUAUUGUUGGAUCACUGUCUAGGGUUGAUGUGGGUGUGAUGGUUGGUCGAAUAUUAGAAAUGAAAGCAUUAUUAAUUUUGUAAUAACAACACCCAAACCUGUGUUUUAUAAAUCUCUACCCACUUUAACUGAAAGACAUGCAGGUAAUUAUAUGGCAAAAGUAAUGAUAGAAAUUAUUGAAGAAGUUGGACCAGGAAAAGUAUUUGGAAUAGUAACUGACAAUGCUGCUAAUAUGAAAAAAGCUUGGCGAGAAAUAAAUAAUAAGUAUGAGCAUAUUAUUACAACAUAUGGUUAACAUAUAGGUGGAGUUGCAGUUGUCAAUAACAUUAGAAGACGACACGUGUUACACGCAAUAUUUAAUGAAAAACAAAAAGAAUCGAGUAUAAAUAAAAAAAAAUCGCUGAUGUUGCCUGUUCAAACCAGAUGUGGUUCAGUAGUAGUUUUUCUUAAGUCUUUUAGCUAAUAAACAAAUAAUACAACUCUUAAACAUAGAUGAGCGGUGUGAAGAAGACAUUAUACCAAGCGUGAAACAAUUUUGGGACCGUAUAAAAAAUUUACACAAUUUUUUAAAGCCCAUAGCAUACUGGAUUACAAGAAUAGAAAGUGAUUUACCAAAACUCAGUAUUGUUCCAGAGAUAUUUGUUGAAAUUAAAAAACAAUAUGAUACUUGUAUAAAAAAUGUUUCUUGUUUUGAGACUGAAAAAAAUAUAAUUAAAAAUAAAAUUCAAUCAAGAAAAGAAUUUAGAGUUCAACAAAUUCAUUUAGCUGCAAAUAUACUACAUCCAAAGUAUCGUGGAAAUAAUUUGACUGCAGAUGAAAAUAUUGAGGCUGCUACAUUCAUUCAUAGACUAUCUACAAUAUGUUUGGAUCGAGGUUUGGAUAUUGAUGAACAGAAAGUCAUGUAUGAUUUCGCUCAGUAUAAGGUUAAAGAAGGGAUUUUUUCAAAUACCUAUGUAUAGGAGGCGUUUGUCAAUUUAGAACCAAUUGUGUGGUAGAAUGCUUACUGUUCAUCUACUGAACUUUCAAAGUUAGCCUCAAAGAUUUUGUCACUACCUGCUACAUCAGCUGCUUGCGAAAGAACAUUCAGUACAUAUAAAGAUGUGCAUUCGUCCAAAAGAAAUAGACUUACCAACAGCAGAGCAGGAAAAUUAGUUUAUGUUAAACACAAUUUAAAGUUGAAGGAAGAACAGGAAAAACAAGUAAAUCCACCGCUUGCCCAGCAAGAUUAUUAUGAAAAAUUGUUAAGAAUUUGAAGAAGACAGUAAUAAUGAGCUACAACUAGAAGAAAUUGAAGAAGACAGUAAUAAUGAGCUACUAGAAGAAAUUGAAUGUGAAGACAAUACUAAAGAGAGUGACUGUAGUGUUAUAAGUGUUAAUUUGGAAAAUGAAGAAGAACAGAACUCAGACAUUUAUAUAGAUAGUACUGAAAUAGAUGAACUUAUGAAUAUGAUAAAUUCAUAAAAUAAUAUUAUGAUAACUAAUUAUAUUAUGUUUAUGGUUUUUAUUUAUAAAAAUUAUUAUAUUAUAAUAAUUUAUCAAUUCCUUUUAGGCUUUAGGUAUAUCUACUAAACUAAACUAUAUUCAGUAGUUAUCUACUAGUUAUCACUAGUAUUACUAUCAAAAACUUGGCCAUUUACCUGCACACCACAUUUAUAUUUGUAUAUAUAAAUCUAUAAUAAGUAUUUAAUUUUAUAAAAGUGUAUGGUACACUAAUGUAAGCA